UGCUGCCCUUGGAGCCUGGUGGGCAGUAACCAUUGGUCAUUUGUGGCCUGUGCCCCUUUGCAGCCCCCUCAGACGUUGGAUUCUGGUGUUGAGACGUUGGUGGACGCUGGUGCUUUGCAGGCAGCUCUGAGCACGUGGUGCUGGCAGGACGUUCAGAGUGUUGCAGUCUGUCUGACCCUGUGCAGGACUAGUGUAGUGUGUUCAUCAGAUCUGCUUGAUGUGGUCCCUGUCAGUGGACAGGUUUGGAAAACCUCGGUGUAAGCAGUCAGUGUUACUGGUGAUUUCUUUUGCUUUUUUGACCCUCUAGGAUCCCCAUUCGCUUGUAAAGUAUACUUUAUUUGGUCUAAUGUUUUCUAGAUGUAAAGAAAAUGGUAUUUUUUAAAGAAAAUUAAUCUAGAAAUUCAAUCCUUUAUGCACCAAAGUUGGCUUUGAAAAGGAAAGUAAAAUCAUUUUCUUGCUUAAUAAGCAAGGAGCCGUGGAUUUUUUUUAACUGACAAAUAGAGAUGCGUCUAACCUGUUAGUCUUUGUAUGGAGACAAAAAUGUUGCAUAUAGAUAAUAGGACGUUGCUUGUAAAUAUUUCAGCAGAUUUGUAAUAUAUUUUUAUAUUAUGAAAUGUACUGUAGAUGUUUUUCUAGAGGCAUGAAAGUUAAAGUGUAUAUAUUACGGUAGAAAUAAUAUUGAAGGAUAUUGUAAUUCACUAGUGCUGCCAGAAGAAUUGUUUUAAAAAAGCACCUUCCUUAACAGUAAAAAAACCUUCUUUUGCAUACCUAAGGGACUAUAUGCUACUGUUAGUAUCUGUUGUAUGAACAAAAAUACAUUGAACAUCCUUCCCAGAAAUCUUAGAGGGAUGAAUAGUACCCAUAAUUAAUUCAUGGCACUCCUUUCUAAUAGUGAACACAGAAUUAGUUUUUUCCUUACUGUCGGAAGGAACUAAUAUGUAAAAUUUGUAUGGAUAUAUGCAGUCAAACUGCAGAGUUAGUCCUCCUUGUUGGGGAGGAAUUUACUACAGUGAAACUAAUAACCAGCAGUUUUUACACUAAAUUUUUAUUAAAUAGAUUAAAACUUAAAGUAACCCUUCGGUUGCAGAAGCGAGCAUGUCCUAAUGUUAUACAAAUGCGUUCUGCAUUGGUACUGACACGUGUCUUGCUUAGCUCCAGCGGGUUAAAAAUGUUAUAUGUACACAAAAAAAAUAAUCUUAUCAAUGAUACGAAGUGCAGAUUAAAAGCACCACUAAUAUAAGAUGUUCUGGAAUGGUUGUUUAAUAAGGGUAUUAUUCAUAAAAUCUGUAGUGACGUGACUUUAUUUUUGGAAAAAAAUGCAGUGUUUUGGUUUUUUAUUUUUUUUGCUUGAGCACUUCACCUACUGCUUUCUCUGUACCUAUAAAGUAAUCCGUAAUCUUUCUUUCUUUUUUUGAAUUUGUUAUAAAAUUGCCAAAUAGAAGUGUUUCAGAUAUAGUUUGUAUUUGUAUUUUUUUAAUUUUAUUGCUUCAUGAGUUUCUUGUAAGUCAUUUAUAAUUGACAGAUGAUUGUAGACCUUGCCUGAGUAUUUUUUCUAAUAAAACAAAGCAAACAAACCUUGUAAGCUUCAAAAUUGUACCAUUUCAGUGGAGUUUUCAACAACAAAUGCAAAACUGGCGCUGUUUCCUGUGUGUGUUGUAACACACUCCUUUACAGAAGGGGGAGAUCAUGGAUUCAAGUCAUGUGGUGUUCUUGUAAAAUGUGACUUUUCCUGGUUUUGAAAAAACUAUCGUCUGGUUUAAAUAACAAACAUCUGUGAAGAAAUGGAUACAUUGGAGUUAAUUAAAUUUUCCAUAAUAGUCAAAAGGUAAGUGGACAUUUGGCUGGUUUUUACCUUGUAGUUAUUGAAGUGAAUUGCUGAAGCUCUUUAUGAUUGAAAGUGAUUUGCAUUCUGCAAGUUUUGGAAUGACUUGGUGGUGGCUUGUUUCAAAAGCCAGUCCUGUUCUCUAAAGCUCUGCUGCAGUUUUUGUGUGUGCCCCUGGGCAGGUUUCACUUUUGUUGGAAUACCAGGGACGUGGAACUGCCACCGUGUGCUGGGGGUGCUGGUCACUUAGUUCUGAAAAUCAUCUUGUUCUUACUCUUGAAAAGUGUUUCUGAAAUAUUUGGCCUCUCCCCUUUCAAGUAAUUCCGUGUGCUUUGUUUUGGGAUGUAACAUUUAAAAGUUUCUCCCUGUCUUUAUCAAGAACAUUUUUUUAAUGUUAGGUUUUCCAGACAUCUACAGCUUGCAUUCCCAACUUGAGUGUUUAUUUUCUUUGUGGAGAAAUGUCAGCUCCUUGAAAGUUGCACUUUUUGGGAGUUGCAGUGCACACAAGUAUCUCUGUUCAAAAUGCCAUUCUUUUGGAAUGUGUUGGCUUGAGCUGUGCAGUUUUCUAGAAUGGACUAGGAGGAUUUUGGAGUGAGGGAUUGUGUUUUGGGCUUCAAGACCCGCUCUGCCUGUGGCUAAGUGGAUGGAAAUGCUUGUCUGGGAAAACUAGCUGGCAUUUGGGCACAGCACAGAGCUGGUUGUCUGAUACUAGAUCUUACUCUGCUAAAGCACCUUAAUAAUCUGUUUAUUAAAGACAGAGCAGAAACAAAUUGGUAUUUUUCUUAUGAGUAUAAUUUUGUUCUUACUUUGAAUAUAAUUUCUAAAAUUACUGUGGGUCUUUCAGAUUUUGGCCAAAAUGUGGAAUAGGUUGCACUAUUAUUUUUCAUCUCUAGUCCAUGAAGUAAUUAUAUCAGUCAUUU
ensembl:lncRNA